rnacentral:rRNA from 1 species
CACCGCCCGUCACACCAUGGGAGUCAGUUGCUCCAGAAAUCGGUACGCCAACCGCAAGGAGGCAGCCGCUCAACGGAGUGACUGGUAACUGGGGUG